UAGGGAAUCUUCGGCAAUGGACGGAAGUCUGACCGAGCAACGCCGCGUGAGUGAAGAAGGUUUUCGGAUCGUAAAACUCUGUUGUUAGAGAAGAACAAGUGCUAGAGUAACUGUUAGCGCCUUGACGGUAUCUAACCAGAAAGCCACGGCUAACUACGUGCCAGCAGCCGCGGUAAUACGUAGGUGGCAAGCGUUGUCCGGAUUUAUUGGGCGUAAAGCGAGCGCAGGCGGUUCCUUAAGUCUGAUGUGAAAGCCCCCGGCUCAACCGGGGAGGGUCAUUGGAAACUGGGGAACUUGAGUGCAGAAGAGGAGAGUGGAAUUCCAUGUGUAGCGGUGAAAUGCGUAGAUAUAUGGAGGAACACCAGUGGCGAAGGCGACUCUCUGGUCUGUAACUGACGCUGAGGCUCGAAAGCGUGGGUAGCAAACAGGAUUAGAUACCCUGGUAGUCCACGCCGUAAACGAUGAGUGCUAAGUGUUGGAGGGUUUCCGCCCUUCAGUGCUGCAGUUAACGCAUUAAGCACUCCGCCUGGGGAGUACGACCGCAAGGUUG
rnacentral:rRNA from 1 species